UACGUAGGGACCAAGCGUUGUUCGGAUUUACUGGCGUAAAGGGCGCGUAGGCGGCAAUUCAAGUCAUCUGUGAAAUCUCCGGGCUUAACUCGGAACGGUCAGAUGAUACUGCUUUGCUAGAGUGCGGAAGGGGCAAUCGGAAUUCUUGGUGUAGCGGUGAAAUGCGUAGAUAUCAAGAGGAACACCUGAGGUGAAGACGGGUUGCUGGGCCGACACUGACGCUGAUAGCGCGAAAGCCAGGGGAGCAAACGGG
rnacentral:rRNA from 1 species